GCAACGCCGCGUGAGUGAAGAAGGCUUUCGGGUCGUAAAACUCUGUUGUUGGAGAAGAAUGGUCGGCAGAGUAACUGUUGUCGGCGUGACGGUAUCCAACCAGAAAGCCACGGCUAACUAGUGCCAGCAGCCGCGGUAAUACGUAGGUGGGCAAGCGUUAUCCGGUUUAUUGGGCGUAAAGCGAGCGCAGGCGGUUUUUUAAGUCUGAUGUGAAAGCCCUCGGCUUAACCGAGGAAGCGCAUCGGAAACUGGGAAACUUGAGUGCAGAAGAGGACAGUGGAACUCCAUGUGUAGCGGUGAAAUGCGUAGAUAUAUGGAAGAACACCAGUGGCGAAGGCGGCUGUCUGGUCUGUAACUGACGCUGAGGCUCGAAAGCAUGGGUAGCGAACAGGAUUAGAUACCCUGGUAGUCCAUGCCGUAAACGAUGAAUGCUAGGUGUUGGAGGGUUUCCGCCCUUCAGUGCCGCAGCUAACGCAUUAA
rnacentral:rRNA from 1 species